rnacentral:rRNA from 1 species
CCCUUAGAUGUCCUGGGCUGCACGCGCGCUACACUGAUGUGUCCAGUAAGCACCUAACCUCUUCCGAAAGGAACGGGUAACCUUUGCAAAGCACAUCGUGAGGGGGAUAGAUUAUUGCAAUUAUUAGUCUUGAACGAGGAAUUCCUAGUAAGCACAAGUCAUCAGCUUGUGUUGAUUACGUCCCUGCCCUUUGUACACACCGCCCGUCGCUCCUACCGAUUGAAUGUUCCGGUGAGCUCUUCGGACUGCGCGGUCUGCAGUUUCUGCGUUCCGUGCGGAAAGUUGCGCAAACCUUAACAUUUAGAGGAAGGAGAAGUCGUAACA